UCACAUUAAACGUACACCACCGAACGUUCAGGUUUGAUCUGCGCCAUUUGGGCAGUUAAGUCACAGAAACUUUACAGCUCAAACGGAGAAAUAAACAGAGUUUAGAAGUUUGGAAUCCCACAAUGGCAGUGCAGAAAAGAAUGUCACCAUCGAAAAAAGGUGUGAAUGCAUCCUUAAAGGGAUAUUUC